rnacentral:rRNA from 1 species
CUGUGACAUACCUUAUGUUGCCUCGGCGGAUCAGCCCGCGCCCCGUAAAAAGGGACGGCCCGCCGCAGGAACCCUAAACUCUGUUUUUAGUGGAACUUCUGAGUAUAAAAAACAAAUAAAUCAAAACUUUCAACAACGGAUCUCUUGGUUCUGGCAUCGAUGAAGAACGCAGCAAAAUGCGAUAAGUAAUGUGAAUUGCAGAAUUCAGUGAAUCAUCGAAUCUUUGAACGCACAUUGCGCCCGCCAGUAUUCUGGCGGGCAUGCCUGUUCGAGCGUCAUUUCAACCCUCAAGCCCAGCUUGGUGUUGGGAGCUGCAGUCCUGCUGCACUCCCCAAAUACAUUGGCGGUCACGUCGAGCUUCCAUAGCGUAGUAAUUUACAUAUCGUUACUGGUAAUCGUCGCGGCCACGCCGUUAAACCCCAACUUCUGAAUGUUGACCUCGGAUCAGGUAGGAAUACCCGCUGAACUUAAGCAUAUCAAUAAGCGGAGGAAAAGAAA